GCCGGAGUGGCGGAAUUGGUAGACGCAAGGGACUUAAAAUCCCUCGUCCGCGAGGGUGUGCCGGUUCGAGUCCGGCCUCCGGCA
rnacentral:tRNA from 1 species